AAAAGUUCAGUCACUUAAUUUAUAAAAAAGAAAAAAAGAAAAAAGAUUUGCUGCAUUGGAAGCUACUGCUGAUGUAGCCGAUUUGUUUUCUUGUAGUAAACAGCCUCUUACAGAAAAUUUGUCUCAUCAUUUCCUUAUCUCAUGUGUAGCUUGUAAGUGCCCUUUUUUAAAAUUGUUUUUACAGUACUGCAUGAAUUUUAACUGAAGCUGAAAUAAAACAACCAUUUUACUUUGUCUAUCCUUAUAAAAUACUCAACAAAAACACACUGAGCAACAAACCAGGAAGCAUGCCCGGACAUGUCACCUUCACCACUCAGCCUUUUUAACCCAUUCCUACGACACUUGCUCCCCAUACAAUGACCUCAAAGAGUCACCUGACCCCAAGGUUGAAAGGUCAAGUAACCUCCUACACCCUGUCGGGUACAGAGACAUGGACAUGACAACCCAUCACCUCCCCAGAUCAUUUGGUCUGGAACGGCCUCUUCUGGUCUGUUUUACACAAUCUUCUGCUUGUAUAAACACAAACUAAAGGGAGUUCCACAAUGACAUCCUAAGCAGAAGGAAAGAUUGAAUGGAAAUCACAUCUAUCCACAUGAAAAGAUCCAUGCAAAAAAAAAAAAAACAUUGCUGAUAAAUACUAAUUAGCCAACCCAGAAUACAAUGAUUGCAAGAACAGAUGCCCUGUUUCCUCACUUUCACUUUGGCAUGCAAGCAAAAUACAUCCCUACACAAUUACAAAUCCACCACUUGUAAAAUUUAAGCCAGACAAACACCAGGUAUUAUGCUAGCCAAAUUAUUGUUGUCCUGUGUUUGGCAAGACAAGUACACAUAGUACAAAUACACUAUUUGGAUACCGCCACAACUUUAGAAGUUAGGGUAAAAUGCUUCAUUUACUAUUGGGGCAAUAUUUACACAGCAUGAGAUCUUUUCAACAUCAUUGUGCAAAAUCAAUUCACCCAUAACAACAAAGCAAUCAAUUGUGAUAACAGGAGAAAAUCAUCACCUUUUACAAUAAUAACUGGGGAGGGUAUCCAAAGUCUAAAAGCAGCCCAGGAGGUGAUGAAUAGUUUUACUGUUCAUAGAAGACCAAGGAUGCUACCAGUGAAGAACUGCUUUGUUCCAUACAAAACACCAGUGCUGUGAUGAUACCCUAGAAGAUGUGUUUGAUGCUAUCUUUGGGGGCACUUGAAGGCCAUGGUGUAUCAGGUGAAGAUACGAGACAUAAAUCAUCUCCAGGAACGUAUCACCAACGCCAUUACAAGCAGAACUUCAACUGUGCUAAUGCAAGUUCAUCACCAGUGGAAAACAUGUAUAAAUAUGUGUUUUGGAAACAAUGGUAAUCAUAUAGAGCACAUUAUAUAAAUAAAAACGGUUGUCCAACAUAAAAUGUUUAUUUUUCCUAUGUAUAGAAACUUUCUGGCCCACCCUGGACUUAUGUUUGUCUAUAUACUUUUGUACUGUUUAUAUUUCUUGUCAGCAGCUGUAAGGUAAGCAAUGUCCUCUCUUGGAUCAAUAAAGUAUUUCUGAUUCUGACUGAUUGUGAACACCACUGAGAUGCCAUUCACUGUUCUUCACUGAGAUGACGCCGAUUAAAAUGUCUGUUUUUGC
ensembl:lncRNA